GAAAAAAAAAAAAAAAAAAAAAAAAAAAAAAAAAAAAAAAAAAA
rnacentral:ribozyme from 1 species